GAUCGUAUUGGGAGGCUGGCUCUGCCCAGUGCCAGCCUGUGCCCUACGGGCUGCGCCGGGCACAGGAGGGCCCUCUGUGGGCGCCUGCAUCAGCCUCCCUGCCUCCUGGCCCGUGUGCUGGUCUCCCAAAGGCCUGAGAAGGAACCUGCGUGGGAAUCCCCUGAGUUGCCCUGCAACCAGUGAGUCAUCCUUUUCCAGCCCGCCAGGACGGAGGUGUCACCCUGCUGAGCUGGCGGCCGGGUGGCCACUCUUCAGUCAGCAGCCCUUCCUUGCCAAGCUCCCUGUCCCCAGCGCUCCGCCCCCAAAAUGUGUGCAUGACAAACAAUCCUCUGAAAGCGGCAGUCCCUAACGCGAGAGCGUUUUCAUGCUGGGAGAUCGGCAGGUACUUCCAGGCUGGAUCAGCCCCAGCAGUGCCAAGGGCUGUAGGCAGCCGCCUUCCUGGGAAGCAAGACUUUGUCCGGGAAACCUCCUCUGGACGCAGGGUGGGGCCCCGAGCCCAGGGCUUCUGCGUUGUCCCCAAUGCGGGAAGGGGGAGUGGGCUCUGACCCUCCCGGGGGAGUCACCGCAGAAGGCGACUUCCUCAUUUUACCCUGAAGAAAGAGGGGUGCAGUGCUGCAGGUGAAGCUCCCCUCGGCAGCAGGAACCCUGCGGAGGCGUCACAGGACGGCCCCGGCCUCCCAGCGCCGGGAGGAGAUCCGUUUAGGUCCGUUAGAGCUGGCUUAGCUGUGGGGUUAGAGAGAAACCCCAUGGAACUUGCGGGGGGAGGACUGGGAGACGUUUCCGCAGCUGCUUGUGGCAAACUCAGCCUCCAAGUUCAUGGAGCUUGUGUUGGAGGCAGGGUGGCCUCACGGCUGGGUCCCAGGCCUGUGGCGUUUGGGGAAUUCCAACUCCAAGCCCAGUGAUGAUUUAUGCAGUGAGAUGUGUGCACUUCUGGACUCAGCAUAGACAGUUUAAAUCACAGAACUUCAAAGCCUGCCUGGUUUCUCUACUCUGUCCUUGAACAGUUUGCACGGUUUCUCCUGAUCCCCCCGGAGCAAGGGUGCCCUUGUGCUGUGUGACCUGGGUAAGGAAUGGUGCCUCUCUGAGCCUUUCCUUUUCUGAAAAGUGGGGAGUUCUGUCCCCAUGUGCAGAUGCUGGUAUCCGAUGCUGUUCUCAGAUAUGGAGAAAGCCCGUGUUCCCCAUUAGAGGAUCCAGAUGGUCCUAGCUGCCCUUUAGCGAUAAAGAAACGGCCCGGCCCCGGGUCACACACAGCGGCAGUGGUGGGGUCAACACUCGGCUCUCUCCGUGCUGCCUCUUUUUUUCCCGCCAAGCCCACCCCGUUUCUAAAUGUUUCCACCUGUGUAUUUCCACGGGCCGUGGUUUCCACGUUUUCAGUUUUGUUUGGUGUAAAAUUCACAUAGUAUAAAAUUCACCGUUUCAACUAGAAACG
rnacentral:lncRNA from 1 species